rnacentral:rRNA from 1 species
UAGGAAUUGGCGGGGGAGCACCACAAGGGGUGAAGCCUGCGGUUCAAUUGGAGUCAACGCCAGAAAUCUUACCCGGAGAGACAGCAGAAUGAAGGUCAAGCUGAAGACUUUACCAGACAAGCUGAGAAGUGGUGCAUGGCCGUCGCCAGCUCGUGCCGUGAGAUGUCCUGUUAAGUCAGGUAACGAGCGAGAUCCUUGCCUCUAGUUGCCACCAUUACUCUCAGGAGUAGUGGGGCGAAUUAGCGGGACUGCCGUAGUUAAUACGGAGGAAGGAGAGGGCCACGGCAGGUCAGUAUGCCCUGAAACUCUGGGGCCACACGCGGGCUGCAAUGGUGGUGACAAUGGGUUCCGAAUCCGAAAGGAGGAGGUAAUCCUCAAACGCUACCACAGUUAUGACUGAGGGCUGCAACUCGCCCUCACGAAUAUGGAAUCCCUAGUAACUGCGUGUCAUUACCGCGCGGUGAAUACGUCCCUACUCCUUGCACACACC